GACUGGUGUAUGGAAAGAAAAAGAAAUCCUUUUGUUUUCUUACUUCUAUGGUUCUUCUCAAGGAAUGACACCUGACUGGGAUAGCCAUGAGCCACGAGGCCACAAAUGUGAAGAGGAAAAGGCAACAACUUGAGACAAUGGGGCAGAAGGAAGAAAACUGCCUAGCGAGACAUGUGGGAUCUUAGCUCCCCAACCAGGGAUUGAAACCGUGCCCCCUGCAGUGGAAGCGUG